UACGAGUGCUCCAAGCGUUAUCCGGAAUUACUGGGCGUAAAGCGUUUGUAGGGGGCAAUGAUAGUCCCGUGUUAAAUUUUGAGGCUCAACCUCAAAGCUGCGCGGGAAACGUCAUAGCUAGAGGACGUAAGAGGCUGAUAGAACCUACGGUGUAGGGGUGAAAUCCGUUGAUAUCGUAGGGAAUACCAAAGGCGAAGGCAUUCAGCUGGUGCGUUCCUGACCCUGAGAAACGAAAGCGUGGGGAG
rnacentral:rRNA from 1 species